rnacentral:sRNA from 1 species
GAAGCUGGCCCUGGAGGCCAGGCAGCCCGCAGUCAGCGAGGGUCCUCUCUGGGUCUUGUCCUGCCACCCCUCAGGCUUCAGCGCUGUGGUGCUCCUGAAGGGCACGCCUCCCCCACCCCCGCCGGGCCUGGUGCCCCCAAUCAGCAAGCCGCCCCCCGGCUUCUCUGGCCUUCUGCCUAGCCCCCACCCGGCCUGUGUCCCCAGCCCCGCCACCACCACCACCACAAAAGCACCCAGGCCGCUGCCUGCCCCACGGGCCUACCUAGUCCCCGAGAACUUCCGGGAGAGGAACCUUCAGCUCAUCCAGUCCAUCAGGGACUUCCUGCAGAGCGACGAGGCCCGCUUCAGCGAGUUCAAGAGCCACUCAGGGGAGUUCAGACAGGGCCUGAUCUCCGCAGCCCAGUAUUACAAGAGUUGCCGGGACCUGCUGGGGGAGAAUUUCCAGAAGGUCUUUAAUGAGCUGCUGGUCCUGCUGCCCGACACGGCCAAGCAGCAGGAGCUCCUGUCUGCACACACGGACUUCUGCAACCGUGAGAAGCCUCUGAGCACCAAAUCCAAGAAGAACAAGAAGAGCGCGUGGCAGGCCACCACCCAGCAGGCGGGCCUGGACUGCCGUGUGUGCCCCACCUGCCAGCAGGUGCUCGCGCAUGGCGACGCCAGCAGCCACCAGGCGCUGCAUGCUGCCCGGGACGACGACUUCCCCUCCCUGCAAGCCAUCGCCAGGAUCAUCACGUAGCUCCCGCCAGCGUGGCCAGAGCUGUCGCACCGUGAGCGUCCUUCCUCCUUCCUCUCCGGGCUGCCAGGCAGCCAGGUAA